rnacentral:rRNA from 1 species
AUUGAACGCUGGCGGCGUGCCUAACACAUGCAAGUCGAGCGGUAGCAGGUGUAGCAAUACAUGCUGACGAGCGGCGGACGGGUGAGUAACGCUUGGGAAUCUGCCUGUUAGUGGGGGACAACCCGGGGAAACUCGGGCUAAUACCGCAUACGCACUACGGUGGAAAGCCGGGGACCGCAAGGCCUGGCGCUAACAGAUGAGCCCAAGUCGGAUUAGCUAGUUGGUAGGGUAAUGGCCUACCAAGGCGACGAUCCGUAACUGGUCUGAGAGGACGACCAGUCACACCGGAACUGAGACACGGUCCGGACUCCUACGGGAGGCAGCAGUGGGGAAUAUUGGACAAUGGGGGAAACCCUGAUCCAGCGACGCCGCGUGGGUGAAGAAGGCCUGCGGGUUGUAAAGCCCUUUCGGUUGGGAAGAAAAGUUGCGACCUAACACGUUGCGACCUUGACGUAACCAACUAAAGAAGCACCGGCUAACUCUGUGCCAGCAGCCGCCGUAAAAC